GACGUAGGAUGCGAGCGUUGUCCGGAAUUAUUGGGCGUAAAGCGCACGUAGGCGGAUCGAUCAGUCAGGGGUGAAAUCCCAGGGCUCAACCCUGGAACUGCCUUUGAUACUGUCGAUCUGGAGUAUGGAAGAGGUGAGUGGAAUUCCGAGUGUAGAGGUGAAAUUCGUAGAUAUUCGGAGGAACACCAGUGGCGAAGGCGGCUCACUGGUCCAUUACUGACGCUGAGGUGCGAAAGCGUGGGGAGCAAACAGG
rnacentral:rRNA from 1 species